CCCGUCCCUUGCCAGGGGCUGCUGGUUGAGCUGCUCCACUGUAAAGCCCCUUCUGCUGGCCAGGUCUGACGUGGUCAUUUCCCUGUUCCUUUCUGUCUUUCCCAGGAAUUUCAGCAAAUGAGAGACGCAAAGUCUGCAAACACGGGGAUGUCUGACUGGGCUCUGAAAACCCCAGGGGCUGCCAUCGACCUGCAGAAAUCGUCCAGCCGCUGCACAGGGUUCUGUAGUGUGUUUUGGUUCCUGUGUGCUCCACCGCGCCUGGAUAGCUUUGUGCAGCCGGACACAUCCCCGGGAUACUGCUGGCCGUUCCAAGGGUCUCGGAGUGAGGUGCUAAUCCGGUUGCCCACACAAAUACAACCAACAGCUGUGGUCAUACAACACACCUCAAAGGCAGCCUCUCCACCGGGGACUGUCAGCAGUGCCCCCCGAGAUUUCUCCGUCUCUGUAAGUCUCUGCCGGGCACUGGGAGCUGGGACCGGGCACGGGGAAAAGCUGUAAUGGGGACUUGGUGCUCUGUGCACAUUAGCCAAGAUUGCUGUGCUCCCAGCUCUGCUGUUCCCCGAGGGGACAUUGCAAGGGACACAUGCGGCGGUGACCCCCCUAAGAUUUGCUCAGUGUGUUUUGGCCCAGCACCUCCAGGACCCUGAGCAUGAGACAAGGAGGAGACUCAUCCCCACCGCAUCCUAUGCCAGACUGUGCUGGAGCCGCAGGAAUGCGGUUCGGAUCACGGGCCUGGGUCUGGCACGACCCUUUCCUCGUGGUCGGGUGGAGUGUGACCUGCUCCCCUGUGCUUUAUCUCCAAGGGCUUGGAUGAGGAAGGCGAGGAGGAAACUGUGCUGGGGAGGUUCACCUACACUGUGAAGAAAGACCCGCCGCAGACCUUCCCUCUGCAGGUGCAGUGAGCGUGUGUGGGCAAAAGGCCAGGGCAGAAACACUGGUUGGCAGCAAAGUCGCAAUGAACAAGGAGUGUGGACGGUCCCUGCUGGGGCAAGGGCCUGACCCCAGGCCAGAGAAGCACUGGCUGGAUUGGGAGGGAGGGUGGCAUACGGCAGGGCUGCAAAAGCAGAGCAAGGGCCACAUUGGCCCCACAGCCAUCGGGGUCCCCGGAGCUGCCUGGCUGCACCCACCGGGCAGGUGGUGGCAGGGAGGACACCCAGCACCUUGACCCGGCAGCAGCACUUUCCCCAGGGCAAGGCCCCAGCCCCAGUGAGCUUCAGAUUUCCAGAGCCGCCCACCACGCUCCCUGCGGCCCAGAGUUUGCUCUGCAGGGCACAGGGGCCUUUGCCGCCCGGGCGGGAGAAGGGAAGGAGGAGAAGCUGCCGCCUCAGCCAGGGCGGGAGCUGGACCUGGAGCAGGGGACGGGCUGGCACAGGCAGACGUGUGGAGCCUGCUCUCACUCCUUACACCCCAGGAGUGACACUGCUUUUUGCUGUGGUUUCUUUGCAGAAUGGGAUCCCCAGAGCCUUUCGGUUUCUGAAGCUCGUCAUACAGAGCAACUGGGGAAAACCAGGAUACACCUGCAUUUAUCGAGUGCAGGUGCAUGGGAAGAUCGUGGAAGCGAAUGACACCGGCCAGGCAGGGGUGGAGGCCUUGCCCCAAUGAGAAUUAAAAGGCAAAUGGAGAAACAGAGCAGAUGAUGUGGCUGUUAGUCUGGUGCACAGCAGUGUUGUAUCACAGGCCCUCUCAAAGCUGCCACCUUCUGCCCUUUGCAGGCUGAGGCCUUCCUCCGGCUUUCCGCCUUCCCUCCGCCAUGGGGAUGUUUCCUAGCUGAGCAAAAGGAGACGAUGCUCCCAUAGCCUUUCCUUGCCACAGUUCCCUGACAAAAUCCUUUGGCAAAAUCCUUGUUCCCCAUCUUGCCCCAGGAAGGAGUUUUAGGAGCCUGGCAACUUUUGGGGGUGAUGAUCCUCAAGGCACUGGGCUGUUUCAUUCGGGGGACACCUUGGCUCUGGGGACUGGGCCCAGUGGGGGCCCUCAUGGGGUGCAGCCAUGUCUGGGACCCAU